AUUGAACGCUGGCGGCAUGCCUUACACAUGCAAGUCGAACGGCAGCACGGGAGCAAUCCUGGUGGCGAGUGGCGAACGGGUGAGUAAUGUAUCGGAACGUACCUUUCAGUGGGGAUAACGUAGCGAAAGUUACGCUAAUACCGCAUAUUCUGUGAGCAGGAAAGCAGGGGAUCGCAAGACCUUGCGCUGAUUGAGCGGCCGAUAUCAGAUUAGCUAGUUGGUGAGGUAAAGGCUCACCAAGGCGACGAUCUGUAGCGGGUCUGAGAGGAUGAUCCGCCACACUGGAACUGAGACACGGUCCAGACUCCUACGGGAGGCAGCAGUGGGGAAUUUUGGACAAUGGGCGCAAGCCUGAUCCAGCCAUGCCGCGUGAGUGAAGAAGGCCUUCGGGUUGUAAAGCUCUUUCAGGUGGAAAGAAAUCACUACCCCGAAUACGGGUGGUGGAUGACGGUACCAUCAGAAGAAGCACCGGCUAACUACGUG
rnacentral:rRNA from 1 species